rnacentral:rRNA from 1 species
AGAGUUUGAUCCUGGCUCAGAUUGAACGCUGGCGGCAUGCCUUACACAUGCGAGUCGAACGGCAGCACGGGGGCAACCCUGGUGGCGAGUGGCGAACGGUGAGUAAUGCAUCGGAACGUGCCCAAUUGUGGGGGAUAGCCCGGCGAAAGCCGGAUUAAUACCGCAUACGACCUGAGGGUGAAAGCGGGGGACCGCAAGGCCUCGCGCAAUUGGAGCGGCCGAUGUCGGAUUAGCUAGUUGGUGGGGUAAAGGCUUACCAAGGCGACGAUCCGUAGCUGGUCUGAGAGGACGACCAGCCACACUGGGACUGAGACACGGCCCAGACUCCUACGGGAGGCAGCAGUGGGGAAUUUUGGACAAUGGGCGCAAGCCUGAUCCAGCCAUGCCGCGUGCGGGAAGAAGGCCUUCGGGUUGUAAACCGCUUUUGUCAGGGAAGAAAUGCGCUGGGAUAAUACCUCGGCGUGAUGACGGUACCUGAAGAAUAAGCACCGGCUAACUACGUGCCAGCAGCCGCGGUAAUACGUAGGGUGCAAGCGUUAAUCGGAAUUACUGGGCGUAAAGCGUGCGCAGGCGGUUGUGCAAGACAGAUGUGAAAUCCCCGGGCUCAACCUGGGAACUGCAUUUGUGACUGCACGGCUGGAGUGCGGCAGAGGGGGAUGGAAUUCCGCGUGUAGCAGUGAAAUGCGUAGAUAUGCGGAGGAACACCGAUGGCGAAGGCAAUCCCCUGGGCCUGCACUGACGCUCAUGCACGAAAGCGUGGGGAGCAAACAGGAUUAGAUACCCUGGUAGUCCACGCCCUAAACGAUGUCGACUAGUUGUUGGACGGCUUGCUGUUCAGUAACGUAGCUAACGCGUGAAGUCGACCGCCUGGGGAGUACGGCCGCAAGGUUAAAACUCAAAGGAAUUGACGGGGACCCGCACAAUCGGUGGAUGAUGUGGUUUAAUUCGAUGCAACGCGAAAAACCUUACCUACCCUUGACAUGCCAGGAAUCCUGCAGAGAUGUGGGAGUGCUCGAAAGAGAGCCUGGACACAGGUGCUGCAUGGCCGUCGUCAGCUCGUGUCGUGAGAUGUUGGGUUAAGUCCCGCAACGAGCGCAACCCUUGUCAUUAGUUGCUACGAAAGGGCACUCUAAUGAGACUGCCGGUGACAAACCGGAGGAAGGUGGGGAUGACGUCAGGUCCUCAUGGCCCUUAUGGGUAGGGCUACACACGUCAUACAAUGGCCGGUACAGAGGGUUGCCAACCCGCAAGGGGGAGCUAAUCUCAGAAAACCGGUCGUAGUCCGGAUCGCAGUCUGCAACUCGACUGCGUGAAGUCGGAAUCGCUAGUAAUCGCGGAUCAGCAUGUCGCGGUGAAUACGUUCCCGGGUCUUGUACACACCGCCCGUCACACCAUGGGAGCGGGUUCUGCCAGAAGUAGUUAGCCUAACCGCAAGGAGGGCGAUUACCACGGCGGGGUUCGUGACUGGGGUGAAGUCGUAACAAGGUA